rnacentral:rRNA from 1 species
UACGUAGGGUGCAAGCGUUGCCCGAAUUUAUUGGGCGUAAAGGGCGCGUAGGCGGCUCGGCACGUCCGUUGUGAAAUCGCCCGGCUCAACUGGGCGGGGUCGGCGGAUACGGCCGAGCUGGAGCAAGCUAGGGGGUAAUGGAAUUCCCGGUGUAGUGGUGGAAUGCGUAGAUAUCGGGAGGAACACCAGUGGCGAAGGCGGUUACCUGGAGCUUUGCUGACGCUGAUGCGCGAAAGCGUGGGGAGCGAGUCCGG